rnacentral:rRNA from 1 species
AGAAGCGCAUACGGUGGAUGCCUUGGCAGUCAGAGGCGAUGAAAGACGUGGUAGCCUGCGAAAAGCUUCGGGGAGUCGGCAAACAGACUUUGAUCCGGAGAUCUCUGAAUGGGGGAACCCACCUAGGAUAACCUAGGUAUCUUGUACUGAAUCCAUAGGUGCAAGAGGCGAACCAGGGGAACUGAAACAUCUAAGUACCCUGAGGAAAAGAAAUCAACCGAGAUUCCCUUAGUAGUGGCGAGCGAACGGGGAUUAGCCCUUAAGCUUCAUUGAUUUUAGCGGAACGCUCUGGAAAGUGCGGCCAUAGUGGGUGAUAGCCCCGUACGCGAAAGGAUCUUUGAAGUGAAAUCGAGUAGGACGGAGCACGAGAAACUUUGUCUGAACAUGGGGGGACCAUCCUCCAAGGCUAAAUACUACUGACUGACCGAUAGUGAACCAGUACCGUGAGGGAAAGGCGAAAAGAACCCCGGAGAGGGGAGUGAAAUAGAACCUGAAACCGUAUGCGUACAAGCAGUGGGAGCCUACUUGUUAGGUGACUGCGUACCUUUUGUAUAAUGGGUCAGCGACUUAUAUUCAGUGGCAAGCUUAACCGUAUAGGGUAGGCGUAGCGAAAGCGAGUCUUAAUAGGGCGUUUAGUCGCUGGGUAUAGACCCGAAACCGGGCGAUCUAUCCAUGAGCAGGUUGAAGGUUAGGUAACACUGACUGGAGGACCGAACCCACUCCCGUUGAAAAGGUAGGGGAUGACUUGUGGAUCGGAGUGAAAGGCUAAUCAAGCUCGGAGAUAGCUGGUUCUCCUCGAAAGCUAUUUAGGUAGCGCCUCAUGUAUCACUCUGGGGGGUAGAGCACUGUUUCGGCUAGGGGGUCAUCCCGACUUACCAAACCGAUGCAAACUCCGAAUACCCAGAAGUGCCGAGCAUGGGAGACACACGGCGGGUGCUAACGUCCGUCGUGAAAAGGGAAACAACCCAGACCGCCAGCUAAGGUCCCAAAGUUGUGGUUAAGUGGUAAACGAUGUGGGAAGGCUUAGACAGCUAGGAGGUUGGCUUAGAAGCAGCCAUCCUUUAAAGAAAGCGUAAUAGCUCACUAGUCGAGUCGGCCUGCGCGGAAGAUGUAACGGGGCUCAAACCACACACCGAAGCUGCGGGUGUCACGUAAGUGACGCGGUAGAGGAGCGUUCUGUAAGCCUGUGAAGGUGAGUUGAGAAGCUUGCUGGAGGUAUCAGAAGUGCGAAUGCUGACAUGAGUAACGACAAUGGGUGUGAAAAACACCCACGCCGAAAGACCAAGGGUUCCUGCGCAACGUUAAUCGACGCAGGGUUAGUCGGUUCCUAAGGCGAGGCUGAAAAGCGUAGUCGAUGGGAAACAGGUUAAUAUUCCUGUACUUCUGGUUACUGCGAUGGAGGGACGGAGAAGGCUAGGCCAGCUUGGCGUUGGUUGUCCAAGUUUAAGGUGGUAGGCUGAAAUCUUAGGUAAAUCCGGGGUUUCAAGGCCGAGAGCUGAUGACGAGUUGUCUUUUAGAUGACGAAGUGGUUGAUGCCAUGCUUCCAAGAAAAGCUUCUAAGCUUCAGGUAACCAGGAACCGUACCCCAAACCGACACAGGUGGUCGGGUAGAGAAUACCAAGGCGCUUGAGAGAACUCGGGUGAAGGAACUAGGCAAAAUGGCACCGUAACUUCGGGAGAAGGUGCGCCGGCUAGGGUGAAGGAUUUACUCCGUAAGCCNNNNNNNNNNAGAAGGCUAGGCCAGCUUGGCGUUGGUUGUCCAAGUUUAAGGUGGUAGGCUGAAAUCUUAGGUAAAUCCGGGGUUUCAAGGCCGAGAGCUGAUGACGAGUCGUCUUUUAGAUGACGAAGUGGUUGAUGCCAUGCUUCCAAGAAAAGCUUCUAAGCUUCAGGUAACCAGGAACCGUACCCCAAACCGACACAGGUGGUCGGGUAGAGAAUACCAAGGCGCUUGAGAGAACUCGGGUGAAGGAACUAGGCAAAAAUGGCACCGUAACUUCGGGAGAAGGUGCGCCGGCUAGGGUGAAGGAUUUACUCCGUAAGCUCUGGCUGGUCGAAGAUACCAGGCCGCUGCGACUGUUUAUUAAAAACACAGCACUCUGCAAACACGAAAGUGGACGUAUAGGGUGUGACGCCUGCCCGGUGCCGGAAGGUUAAUUGAUGGGGUUAGCGCAAGCGAAGCUCUUGAUCGAAGCCCCGGUAAACGGCGGCCGUAACUAUAACGGUCCUAAGGUAGCGAAAUUCCUUGUCGGGUAAGUUCCGACCUGCACGAAUGGCGUAACGAUGGCGGCGCUGUCUCCACCCGAGACUCAGUGAAAUUGAAAUCGCUGUGAAGAUGCAGUGUAUCCGCGGCUAGACGGAAAGACCCCGUGAACCUUUACUGUAGCUUUGCACUGGACUUUGAGCCUGCUUGUGUAGGAUAGGUGGGAGGCUUUGAAGCGUUGGACGCCAGUUCGCGUGGAGCCAUCCUUGAAAUACCACCCUGGCAUGCUUGAGGUUCUAACUCUGGUCCGUGAUCCGGAUCGAGGACAGUGUAUGGUGGGCAGUUUGACUGGGGCGGUCUCCUCCUAAAGAGUAACGGAGGAGUACGAAGGUGCGCUCAGACCGGUCGGAAAUCGGUCGCAGAGUAUAAAGGCAAAAGCGCGCUUGACUGCGAGACAGACACGUCGAGCAGGUACGAAAGUAGGUCUUAGUGAUCCGGUGGUUCUGUAUGGAAGGGCCAUCGCUCAACGGAUAAAAGGUACUCCGGGGAUAACAGGCUGAUACCGCCCAAGAGUUCAUAUCGACGGCGGUGUUUGGCACCUCGAUGUCGGCUCAUCACAUCCUGGGGCUGAAGCCGGUCCCAAGGGUAUGGCUGUUCGCCAUUUAAAGUGGUACGCGAGCUGGGUUUAGAACGUCGUGAGACAGUUCGGUCCCUAUCUGCCGUGGACGUUUGAGAUUUGAGAGGGGCUGCUCCUAGUACGAGAGGACCGGAGUGGACGAACCUCUGGUGUUCCGGUUGUCACGCCAGUGGCAUUGCCGGGUAGCUAUGUUCGGAAAAGAUAACCGCUGAAAGCAUCUAAGCGGGAAACUUGCCUCAAGAUGAGAUCUCACUGGGAACUUGAUUCCCCUGAAGGGCCGUCGAAGACUACGACGUUGAUAGGCUGGGUGUGUAAGCGUUGUGAGGCGUUGAGCUAACCAGUACUAAUUGCCCGUGAGGCUUGACC